CAUCCUUCACUCAUAACCAUGCUACACACAUUUUACUCUCAAAUCCACACACUUCUAUUGACCCUAAUUUACAUUUUUAGUUCCACCCAUAAAAGUGAAGACCAACUGACUUUUGUCACAGUUGAAAGAAAAACUUACUUUCGUUCAGAAAAAAAAAAUAAAAAAUAAAAAAGUCUUUAAACUUUCCUCAUCUCCAUUGAAGACUUUGAAGACCUCCAUUGAACCUCCACUAAAAACCAUUGAAAGCCCUUGUUUAAGAGUUGCAAACCUAUAGAAGUUCAACUCAAGCAAUGGUGACAGCAAAAUCAGUGAUGAAAAGAACCGAAUUAAAUUUUUCCUUCUCCUUUUGAGAUGGCAUGCACUGAAGAACCUGAGGUUCGAUCGGAUAUUAUGGUGGAUUGUACUAGCUAUUUUACAGCUAAAUAGGUAAUUUUUAACAUAAAAUUUGAAAGUUCAUAAAUUUGUAUUCGUUAGUUUGUUUAGUUUGUUAUUAUGAAAGUUGUGUGACAUUGUAUAUAGGUUUUCGACAACAAAGAUGAAUUGCUCACUUGGGUACGUGACAUUGGAAGGAUAAAUGGCUUUGUUAUUAUUAUAACUGGUGCACCAUGUAUAUGAUCAUCAUCCAUGGCAAUGUGCAUGUCAUCAUCAUGCACUCGAGCACGUCCACGUCCACGUCCACGUCUCUCUAAUUCAUGGAGUCUUCUGUUCGAAGCUGUUACUGACCGACGUUCACUAGGACCAACAUCUAUCUGCAUAAGAAAAGUUGUUCUUAUCAACCCAAUAUAAUGAAACACAAUAAGCACUCCCAUAAAAGGAUCACAUCAAUGCGGGUAACAAGUAGCAUAACCAUGCCACCUUAAUGAAAUCUAAUACGCAGUUAUAAACCAUUAAAUUCACAAUUUGGAUGAUGUGAAAUUAACAAAAUAAGUUAAAUACAUAACCCUACUACUUAUGAAAGAUUUAGACUAGGAUUUUUUGAAAAAUUAUAAUACAAACAUGGAUAUAGUAAAACUAUUUGUAUUCUAUACAGACCAUUCAUCAAUUAGUUUGGUUGAUGUUCACAACAUGCGAAAAACAGGUUAAUUUCAUUUCGGCCAAUUUACCAAGGCAACAUGGUCAUUAAUCAAUACCAACAUCAUUUUUCAAACAAUCAAAGGACUGCCCAUCACUUGUCUUUGUACAUGCCAUUGAUUGUAAACUUGUUGUAGCUGUAAGAAUACAACCAAAGACCAAAUUUGGCACCAAUUUCAAUGCUUUGAAAUGACAAACCCCAAAGACAAAAUAACUCAAGCUUUAAUACUC